rnacentral:rRNA from 1 species
UCAGGACGAACGCUGGCGGCGUGCCUAACACAUGCAAGUCGAGCGAUGAAGCCCUUCGGGGUGGAUUAGCGGCGGACGGGUGAGUAACACGUGGGUAACCUACCUUAUAGAGGGGGAUAGCCUUCCGAAAGGAAGAUUAAUACCGCAUGAAAUGUUUUUAUCGCAUGGUAGAAACAUCAAAGGAGUAAUCCGCUAUAAGAUGGACCCGCGGCGCAUUAGCUAGUUGGUGAGGUAACGGCCCACCAAGGCGACGAUGCGUAGCCGACCUGAGAGGGUGAUCGGCCACAUUGGAACUGAGACACGGUCCAGACUCCUACGGGAGGCAGCAGUGGGGAAUAUUGCGCAAUGGGGGAAACCCUGAACCGCAGCAACGCCGCGUGAAUGAAGAAGGCCUUAGGGUUGUAAAGUUCUGUUUUCUGGGACGAUAAUGACGGUACCAGAGGAGGAAGCCACGGCUAACUACGUGCCAGCCGCUGC